rnacentral:rRNA from 1 species
AAUAGAUACCCUGGUAGUCCAUGCCGUAAACGUUGGGCGCUAGAUGUGGGGACCAUUCCACGGUUUCCGUGUCGCAGCUAACGCAUUAAGCGCCCCGCCUGGGGAGUACGGCCGCAAGGCUAAAACUCAAAGGAAUUGACGGGGGCCCGCACAAGCGGCGGAGCAUGCGGAUUAAUUCGAUGCAACGCGAAGAACCUUACCAAGGCUUGACAUAUACGAGAACGCUCUAGAAAUAGAGAACUCUUUGGACACUCGUAUACAGGUGGUGCAUGGUUGUCGUCAGCUCGUGUCGUGAGAUGUUGGGUUAAGUCCCGCAACGAGCGCAACCCUCGUUCUAUGUUGCCAGCGCGUUAUGGCGGGAACUCAUAGGAGACUGCCGGGGUCAACUCGGAGGAAGGUGGGGAUGACGUCAAAUCAUCAUGCCCCUUAUGUCUUGGGCUUCACGCAUGCUACAAUGGCCGGUACAAAGGGCUGCAAUACCGCAAGGUGGAGCGAAUCCCAAAAAGCCGGUCUCAGUUCGGA